AGGCCAGAGGACCCCCUUAAAAAGCCGCGCUGAUACGCCCCGGGGACGACCUCCUUUGGGCCCUCGGAUUGGGCCCACGAACCCAGACUGGGCUUUCCCAUUGGUGGGUGGCGCUGUCAGUGGGCCCCCGAGCUCCGCGCACAGCUUGCUGGGAGUUGUAGGACGAGGCGUCUUCCUCGUCCGGGAGGCUUCGGACGUGCCAACAGACGACGUUUCUGCUCAGCCGGCUUCUUUUGUUAUUUUUAUUUAAUGAACAUGCCAGCUUGCAAGAUUAAUCAUGGAAAUUUGGAUUUAGAAGAGACCCUUUGUCUGGAAUACAUUUGCCCCCAGAUAUCUUCUUGGCUUGUUUCCUAUCAGAAUGGUGUACUUGAGGUUGGACAAGAAUGACCGUAUAAACUGGUCUCAGAAGACAUUUUGGAUCAACUGGAAAAGGCUUCACUUCAGCAGAUCACAGUCCUCUUCUGAAGUCUCAGAGGUAGUCCCAGAAGGACUGUUGGGAACACAACAAGGUGGCGUCGCCAGAGCCGGUGGGAGAGGCUUGCGAUUCCACUGGCAGCCCCUCAGUGACCCAGGGAGAGGCUGUGGUGGGAAAGGGCCCCAAGUGUAACUGAGGCAGUAUUGCAGUCUCCUCCAGGGAGAAGAGCCGUCCUCACAGAUAGCUGCAAACCCGCAGGAGCAACGAAGCUGAACGCUCCCAAGGACUCCUCAUAUUUUAAUACAUAUAAUUACAUGAUGGCCAAUAUUUAUAUUAUAUUUUAAGCCUCUGAUAGCGCUUUUACACAUGACCAGACUCUUUCAGAAAUAGUAUGGGUUGUGAUGAUAGAUUUGAGCUUGAAUUCUGGUUCAACCUGUUGGCUAUGUGAUCUUAAAUAAGUUACUUAACCUCUCAGGACCUGUUUUCUCCUCUGUAAAAUGGUGAUGGUGAUGGUGAUGGGGCAAGGUGAUACCUGCCAUAUAGGAUAAGGCUUGAAUGAGAAAAAAGACCUAGUCUGACAUUUGACACAUAGGAGGCGCUCGAUUUCCUUUCCUUCUCUAAAGGUACCUGUUUGCCUCAGUUGACCUCAAGACUUCCACAAUAGUCCCCUGUGUAUAAAGGUAACAUAUUCUCUUCAAAUCUGUCUCAUGUCACACAGUGAUUCCUCACUGCAGUGAUGGGAAGGAGGUAGUGAUGUCUGUAUUGUUAAAAAGCCCCACCACCCCCUGCCCCCAGACUUCCCUGCUGAGAAUCCCUGGUCUACACUUUGAUAUCCCAAGUAUCUCUCAGUAGUUUAAUAUUUUUGUUUGAUAUUUUCAAUCACGGCUUUAUUUCAAUAAAGUAAGGACUUGCCUUCAUGGGAGGGCAAGACAUUAAGCUAAUGAAGAAGGUAGUCCAUAAAUUAUGUAUAGCUAGGUGCCAGGAAGCAUUUUCUUUCUUGGGCAGUGGUAGGUGGGGCAGUUAAUGGAAAGAAUGGUGGAAACACAGAGAGUAUUCAGGGCCUACAGGAGGGUUGACUGGGCCAUGUGGGAGAAAAUGGAUAAAAGGGAAGGGAGAGGAAACUGAAGACAAUUAUUAUUUUUCUCCUAGAUCCUCAUUUAGCAGGCUGUGACUUGGCUUCUUCUGGGGCACCACUGCCUCUCAAUAGAAGCUGUUAUGUGUAUGCUGUAACCCUGUCAUACUUCUAGUCUCACCUACCCUAGGUGUGAGGCCUGGACCCACCACUGGAGUCCUAUAUGGCUACCUGAACCAACUCAUCAAAGUCAUAUUACGUACCAUAAGGUCCUGGAAUUGUAUCUGUCAAAACCUAAUUCGUUCUCUCUAGAAUGACACAUAAGUAGUUACAAAUAACAUUUGGUAACUGCAGAUAUAGAGGGCAAAGAGAAGGGAAAUGCUCUCACUCUGCUAUGAACUGCUCACAGGCUAGAUUAACUGAGCAUCACUUUUGGCUUCUUCUAAAGAAGGGAGAUAUUCAUAAAGUUCUUAUUUGAAAUGUUGUUUAGAGUUUUGGGUAAGGGAUCUUCUGAUUGAAAAUGCUAAGGACACUCCUUAGGCAGGAUGUUUAGAUUUGAACUGAAGAGACAAGGUAAUGCUGAAGGUCAAGUUAUGACUUUGAGCAGCCACAGACAUAUCAUUUUCUGGGGGAGCCAGACCUUUCAGUAGACACAGGGGCUCCUGUAGUGGUAAGUGCAGAGCCCCCUUCUAGGCUGCGAUUUAACUGCUUUGUCCCAGCAAACGCCAUCAGGAAAACAAGGCUUCUUGGGUGUAUCUGUUUGACCCUCUUCUAAGAGUAGACUUCCAAGGGCUACCUGCCUGGACCCCCAUCCUUAUUUUGUCAUCAUCUUCAAGGGAGUCCAAGCACACAGCAGUGAAAACCAUGCUAAAUUGCAUGCAUAGACCAAAGACAAGAGUAAAAUCAUGUUAUGUAGAACUGCUCAGAAACAGCUUCAUGGGGAAAGAAUUUUGCUGGAGGGUAGGUAGAAUUUAAAGAAAGACAGGAGAGAGCAUAGCUAAGGCUCUAUUUUUGUGACAGUUAAUUCUCAUUCAUGGUUUUCAUACUGGAACUCCUGGAGAUGACUGACGUGAAAGAGGAAAUAGGACAAAGUCAGAAGGAGCAGGGGCUCAGGCACAUGGUAAGACAGUCUGGAUUAGAACAGCCAGUUGGAUGUGUGGAGACUUCAUCAGCCGGAGGGAGAUUGGGAAUUCCGUUCCAUCAACAGAACUGAAACAUACCACAUAUGCCAUCAAGCAGAAGCUUUAUUAUGCAAUAGUGAACUGUGCACACCCUUUCCCCAAUUAAUAAUGCACAGAUUGAGGUCACUGUGCACCGAAAACAAAUCUUCAGACAACCUGGGGAUAGCUGGGAGCUGAUACUGCACCUUGAAAUUGGACUUGUUCGGUCAAAUGUGUAACACUUCUGAAACUUUUUAGCCGUUGGCAUCCAGGUUUGAGCUUCCCCAAAUGUUUGUGGUGUGCAUCAUAUUCUGGUUCUUUCACUUUAGCUGAUACAAUACUGUUGUCUAAUGCAUCUGCCGUGUGCUCAUGGACAAGGCCAAAGAAUUAACCUGGGUUGGGAAUGUUUAUGCUCUCACAGUUUGCUUUUUCAAUUUGGUUCAGCAUUGGUCCCUUCUUGUAAAAGGCCAAUUAGGACCAAGCUGGAAAUACAGCAGGGAAGAGUUGUUCUGAAAGUCCCCGAGAAUUUGUCCUUUGGCAAUUAAAUUUUCUAUAGAUUUUUAUCCCUCUACCAACUAUCAGUGCAAUUUUUGGCAAGUCACAUAACCUGAGGCCAUGACACACACUUCACCCUGGGCCUCUGGGUCUUCAUCUGAAAAGUGAAAGGACUAGGCAAGAUGAUUUUGAGGUCCUUCACCUCUAAGAUUUGAGAAUUUGACAAUUCCUGAAUAGUAAACAUCAGAUUUUUUGACACUAGA